UGGUGACAAUUAAAGAAUUUAAUUAAAAAAGAUUAGUGGCUGUUAAUGAAAUUUUUAGUGCGAGGAGAUGAAAGUUGGCAGGAGGCCAGCUAUUAUUAUAUUGUUUACUGUAAAAAGUGAAUAAAGAAGAGAAUCCCAUCAAAGGCAAUAUAAAAGCAUGGAUGAACCUCCGCCAUUACUGAUUAUUGAAGAAGCUCAAGGUUGCCCAGAAAGCGAACCACUGCAACAGCCUCGAAGCUAGUUCAAACUAGUGGGGGGUUGUCUGCAAAAAGAAGAAGAAGAAGAAGAAGGUCAUUAUUAUUUAGUCAAGAAAAUCAACGGCUGAGAAUCAAUCAAUCAUAUUAAUUAGGGAUCAUCAUCAUCAUGGCUCGUGGAAAGAUUCAGAUUAAGAAAAUCGAGAACCCGGUCCACCGCCAGGUAACUUUCUGCAAACGACGUGCAGGGCUGCUGAAGAAGGCAAAGGAGCUCUCGG
rnacentral:lncRNA from 1 species